GCAAUCAAUGUGAGGAGAAGAAUAAUCGAUUGUGAUUCAUCAAUCUUUUACGAUUUACUAUUCAUCUACUGUUGUUACUGCCCACGUUGUAGAUCACGUUUUAGCUGCUUUACUAAUUGAAUGCUGUCCAAGGUGUACGUCUAUGUAUAUUACAUAUUGUUGGGUGCUGAUUCAACAUCGGAAGUUAAGUCAACGUCGGGUAAUCCCGGGAUAUCACUCACCUCGGAAGAUUGUGAAAGAUUGUAAAGGACUGUGAAGGACUGUGAAAGACUGCGAAAAACUGGGAAAAAUUAGGAUUAUUUGUAUUAGAUAUUAAUUAGAUUGUCCUUGGAGUGGAACAGGAGUGGACCAUUAAAUUGAUAGAAAAAGAAGAAAAUGAAGAUUAUCGAUCAACAAGUUAUGCCAAUAAGAUUGUGACGUGAGGAAAAUUGAGACCAUUAUUGAAAACUAUAAAAAAAGGCAGAAACUCAUUCAAAAGAAGAACUCAUUCAUCCAGAUAUUAAUAUCUAAACAUCUGAUCUAGAAAAAUCUAUCAAAAUGUCAAGUAAAAAAUACAAAAAUUUAUCAAAGCAUGGAAUAGUAAUAAAAGAUAUAAUAAAUUCUCAAUACUUUUGUAUAUUUUGCAACUGUUCAAUAAGUUCCUUAUAUAACGUUUAUCAACAUUUAGAAGGAAAACGUCAUCAGAUACGUUUAAAAGCUAAUAAGUUAGACCAUUCUAUAAAGCAUAAGAAACAAGAUUCAAAUGACGAUAUACAUAAUAAACAAAAUGGUAUUCCUCUUAAUAUAAAAGUACCAGUACAAUUAAGUAAUAGUAAGAGAUUAGAUGGAACAGUAUGGCCAGAACAUACAGGAAAUACAGCAAAAUA